UGUGAGAUCUUAGCAGCCCUAGUCCCAGCAGCCCCUUGAGUGAUCCCUUCUUGUCCCUCUCCUGCCCUGCUCAGCUAAAGAAGGACUGAGCUGCUGUGACCCCAAGAAAGGUGCCGGUUGGCAUCGCACUCAGCACUGACAGCAAGGCUGAGCACGCUCAGAGGGAAGGCGGAGAAGGCCCCCGCCUCCUGCUCACGGCCUACUGUCUCCACAGGCCCAGGCUGCACGGGCAGGACCGCGGCUACAUGUCUGCAGCCUGGCUUAGCCUCUCAGCCGAGCCCCUCUCUCCUCCCCCACCUUCUCCCGCCUGUCGGGGGUAGGGAGUGAGAAGGGGAUCUUAAUUUCUCCUGCUUCUAAUCAGCACCGCUGGGAGCAUCAGCCUGCAGGGGGAGGAGGAGGUGAAAGGCCAUGGGCCUAAUCUACAAGCCACCCAGUCACCAGCGCCCAGCUUCCCUCCUCACAAGCCAUGGAGCAAACAAAUUAUUUUUGUUGUUCCUGGGAAAUCUGCAAGUACUUACCCGUGUGAUUAGCAUCUGUGCCUCAUGCCGGCAGUUCAGGUGAAGAGGCCAUGGCUAGUAGCCCGGUGCCGGGCCGCCUGUAAUCAAAACCAAAGCGGCGGCCAGGGUGCUCUCUGGCAACGACGAUGUCAAACUCAAUCUGGCCCUCACCUGGGACAGCUUCUCUGGGAGCCCUAUGCACGUUGAGGCCUCGGUAGCUCUGAAAUAAAUGCAGGAAGGGGCUGGGAGGCUGGGGUAGCCCAGCCUUCCCACAAGUAGCUCUGGCACUCCAAAGCCGGGGCAGAUGGAGGGCCUGAGGCCUGACGCACUGAUGCAAAAGCCUUGGGCCCAGGGAUCUGCAUUUUAAGCUGCAUUCCAAGUGGCUCUGAUGCGCCUCCAACGCUUGGGAAACACAGGAUGCUGUCCAGGCUCCCCUGAGUCAGUCUAGUAGUCACAGCGAUGAGCCCGGUUUCCAAAUGCCUACGAGGUGCAGGCGCUUUAUCUGCUAAUACAUUCUCUCAUUGUCCCUUUGAGAAAGGUGUGAAUAUACCUUCAUAUAGAUGAGGAAACUCAAGCUCAAGAGAAUAAACCACUUGCCCAAAGACACAAUGCAGGGCGGAGAGUCAAACUGAGGUGUGCCUGCCCGCAAACCCUGUUCUAGACCCUUCUGCAGAGUUAGGUCCCGCUUGGAGCUGCUGUCUCAUGCGAUGCGGAGGUGAAGUGGAGUCCCCCGACAUUGCUCAUGGACUGGCAGCCCCCUCGGCGAGAGAGCAGAGGGAGGGAAUGACACAGAAAGCUCCGAUGUGUCUUGUUCCCACCUAAGGGGCAAGCUGUUCUCAGCCUCCUGCUCAAAGCAGGGAAUAACACGCAUCUGCCUUUAUUCCACGGGCGCAGAAUAUGGCAUCCCUACGAGGAGCAGGAAGAACAGGCCAGAAACUGGCAAACAGCACACAAGGUGCUAGGACUGGGACAGAGCGCAGGAGCUCAGCAUGGAGCCCACGGGGGAGGCACUCCUCGUGACAGCAGGCGGCUGGCAUGUGCAUACAGAAUGGCCGCUGGAGGCUCUCCUUAAUAUGCUGGGCAGAGGUUGUACUUAAGUGAACCCCCAGUGAGCCCCCUUGGAGACUAAGGGCCAAAGCUGAACUCAGGAGCAGCCAGCAUGGAGCCGGAGUGGGGAAGCCGCGGCCAGAAGCAGUGGAGUUUAGACGGACAAUGUAAGAAGCUGACUCUAGCCUGGAUAGCGCAGAGACUGGGUUUUCAUCAGUUCCUCAGUGAAGAGGAAAUUGGAAAUUAAUACCAAAAAUCCCACUGAGUAGCGUCCAUAGUUUCCAUAUGUAAUCAUGCUUGGCUUAGCCAGGUAGUAGAAUGUUUAUGAUUUUCUUUCCAAGGUGGAGUUUAGUCAUUCUCAACGAACCAUUUAGUUGGCUUCAUAAGGUCCUGAAUUAAAGAACCCCUCUAGGUGAUGUUAUAGAUGGGCAGAUACCUGGGCGAGGUGGACCCUCACUGGCUGUUGAAGUCAAGGCGGAGGGCCCAGAUUGGGCAAAUCCGGGGAAGAAGCCAUCCUCCCAGACAGCUGCUUGGACGAGGCCAGGGCGCCACACGCUACGUGAAGCGCUGGCUGGAGGAGAAAUGGUCUGUCGUAGGUCUAGGUCUGUUUUAAGGAUCUCCCCUGGCGUUUGUGAUUCACGUACAAAAAUUCAAAUGGUAUGCCCCUCCCCGAACACAUGCUGUCAGUAAACGGAGGCAUCGCUGCACUGCCAGCUAAUGACUGCAGGCUGAGGCGGGCGGCUGGGUGCGUUCACUGCAAGCUCGGAACGCUGGCACUGGCUCUUCCUGCUCCAUCCUGGAAAGGAGGAGAAUGAGGCAGCCUCCUGCCCGUGGCCCUGAUCUUUAGCUCGCUCUACACUGGAAACCAGGAGAUGGAUUUAGAGACCCGGCUGCACAGUCCCUCACCAGCUGCUGGGUGCCACAGGGGUCACGCACUCACCUAGACCUGUGUGACGUGCAUGUGCGGGAGCUUGUGAUGGUCACACAGUCAUGACAUGAAGAGAGCCAUGGGGAGGAGGCACAGGAAGUGGUGGGUGCUGGGGCGCAAUAUGAACAUUCAGCACCAAACAAGGGACAAAAGGUUCCUGGCCACCCUUGCGGUCAGAGUUCCACUGUGUGACCUGUUGUCACAGGUGCCACCUGCAAGGGCCAGGUAAAGCCCUCAUGGAGUUGGGCAGAGGCACAGACCGAUGGUAAUAAUUUAAUAAUAAAUCACUAUUAAUUAUUUUAAUUAUUAAACAAAAUAUAUUACUAUUUGGUUAACUAUUAAACUACUAAUGAUGAUACUUAUGAAUUAAUGGCUUGGGAUGAUCGUGACGGUCACCGCAAUAAUGCUAUACUGAAGGAAUUUUUUGUGUGCCAAUAGACUAAUUAGAAAACAUUUGAGGUAUAUAAUUGUGAUUGCAGGACUGAUGUGUAGUGGAAAACAAAAAAUAAGCAUGCAGGUGUCAAAAUGCCAACUGUUAGCCUUGACCUCCAUGCUUGGCUGAAGGGCUCUCUGUCAUAAAGUGGCUUUGUGCAGCAAUGACCCAGCCUCCAGAGCCCUCACAGCUGAGGGCCAUAGACAGUGUGGACCUGCAGGAGGGAGCCUUGAGAGGGACGCUGAGAGAGGUUGGAUGUAGCACCUCCGGGGAGCAAGGCCAGAGGGACAAACCAGCAGAGGGUGACGCGAUGAGGGACGGGGGUCAGAAGCACGCAGAGUUGGCAGCAGAAAAGCCCUCAUGAGCCGCUGCCAAUUGCAAAGCCAGGCAUUGCAGUAUAACCACCAUGUAUUGAAGAGAUAGAAAUAGGGUCUCUAGGUCCCUGGCAACAUGGGC
rnacentral:lncRNA from 1 species